GCGUCGUCUUCAGAGUUUGAUCCUGGCUCAGGAUAAACGCUGACAGAAUGCUUAACACAUGCAAGUCAAUGAUGGUUAGCUAAGCCUAGCUUAGAGGAAGUUAUGGCGGACGGGUGAGUAACACGUAAAGAACUUGCCUCUUAGACCGGGACAACAUCUGGAAACGGAUGCUAAUACCGGAUAUUAUGAUUUUUUCGCAUGGAGGAAUCAUGAAAGCUAGAUGCGCUAAGAGAGAGCUUUGCGUCCCAUUAGCUAGUUGGUGAGGUAACGGCCCACCAAGGCAAUGAUGGGUAGCCGGCCUGAGAGGGUGAACGGCCACAAGGGGACUGAGACACGGCCCUU
rnacentral:rRNA from 1 species